GACGAACGCUGGCGGCGUGCUUAACACAUGCAAGUCGAACGCUGAAGCUCAGCUUUUGUUGGGUGGAUGAGUGGCGAACGGGUGAGUAACACGUGAGUAACCUGCCCCCUUCUUUGGGAUAACGCCCGGAAACGGGUGCUAAUACUGGAUAUUCACUGGUCUUCGCAUGGGGGUUGGUGGAAAGGGUUUUUCUGGUGGGGGAUGGGCUCGCGGCCUAUCAGCUUGUUGGUGGGGUGAUGGCCUACCAAGGCUUUGACGGGUAGCCGGCCUGAGAGGGUGACCGGUCACAUUGGGACUGAGAUACGGCCCAGACUCGUACGGGAGGCAGCAGUGGGGAAUAUUGCACAAUGGGCGCAAGACUGAUGCAGCGACGCCGCGUGAGGGAUGGAGGCCUUCGGGUUGUGAACCUCUUUCGCUCAUGGUCAAGCCGCAACAAUGGUUGUGGUGAGGGUAGUGGGUAAAGAAGCGCCGGCUAACUACGUG
rnacentral:rRNA from 1 species